rnacentral:rRNA from 1 species
CAGCCGCCGCGGGAAUACGUAGGUGGCAAGCGUUGUCCGGAAUUAUUGGGCGUAAAGGGCUCGCAGGCGGUUUCUUAAGUCUGAUGUGAAAGCCCCCGGCUCAACCGGGGAGGGUCAUUGGAAACUGGGAAACUUGAGUGCAGAAGAGGAGAGUGGAAUUCCACGUGUAGCGGUGAAAUGCGUAGAGAUGUGGAGGAACACCAGUGGCGAAGGCGACUCUCUGGUCUGUAACUGACGCUGAGGAGCGAAAGCGCGGGGAGCGAACAGGAUUAGAUACCCCUGUAGUCCCUGUCUCUUAUAC